UACGUAGGGUGCGAGCGUUGCCCGGAUUUAUUGGGCGUAAAGGGCGCGUAGGCGGCUCGGCACGUCCGUUGUGAAAUCGCUCGGCUCAACUGGGCGGGGUCAGCGGAUACGGCGUAGCUGGAGCAAGCUAGGGGGCAAUGGAAUUCCCGGUGUAGUGGUGGAAUGCGUAGAUAUCGGGAGGAACACCAGUGGCGAAGGCGGUUGCCUGGAGCUUUGCUGACGCUGAGGCGCGAAAGCGUGGGGAGCGAUCCGG
rnacentral:rRNA from 1 species